CUUCCUUUCUUCCUAGAUUAUUCAUUUCUCCUCAGCUCUCCUUUACCUCGUCACUCUCUCCAUAUGAUUAUACACCCCUGGAUCUAUUGGAUUCUAUCAAUUUCAUCCCCAAAUUCCUCUUCUUCUUAAAUUCUAUAAAUGAAUCAUUUUCCAUCUUCGUCGCUUGCCUCAGAUACCCUAAACCAUAGCUUUCAAUUUCGUUGGCUUGAAGCCCCAAACCAUCUUCGACGCUCGGUUCUUCAAUUGUGUCAGCCUCCUCCCUCUUUAUCCUUCUCUUUUGCAUCCGCAGGUGUUCGACGAAUUGCCUCAUUAUUGGCUUGCUUGUUACUUAACAUUGUUUGGUGUUCUGUCCUUAAGAUUCUACCUUCCAAGUCAUUAACACGUAUAAGAGUAGAGAAGAGGUAUAGUUUAUCUUUGGUGGGUGCUUAAGAUUCGAAUCAGUUGGUCUCCAGCUUAAAACACAUGAAGAUGCGAUAACUAACAUCAAAAAUGAGCUUGCAGUUGUGGAGCUUAAAGUUCAGAGAAACUGGAGCAGAUCUGGUAUCAAUCAUAGUGUUAGUAUACUUGGGGACUAGCUUCUUCUUAAGUUUUAUAUACAUAUCUAGAGACGUGCAUUUUGGAAUGCAGGUUGGUGGAUGCCAAUACAUAAUGUUUCCAGGGAGAUAUAUUUACACUAAAAGACUGAAAGAUGCAAAGAGACUGAAGUCAAGCUUACGAUGGGUAUGGCCAUGGGAGGAAUGAAGGUAAACUGAUGUACGAAGUGCAAGUUGCUAUCUUAGCUUAAGAAGUUUGUCUAAUGUUAGUUUAUUUUGUGUAAGACUUGGUGGCACUUACGAUGUUAGUAUAAGACUUGGUAUGAUGUUAUGUAAAACUUGUUUUGGUUAAUUUGAUAUUAAUGUUAUGUAUUUUGAUGAUUUA